UACGGAGGGUGCAAGCGUUAUCCGGAUUCACUGGGUUUAAAGGGUGCGUAGGUGGGCUGGUAAGUCAGUGGUGAAAUCUCCAAGCUUAACUUGGAAACUGCCGUUGAUACUAUCUGUCUUGAAUACCGUGGAGGUGAGCGGAAUAUGUCAUGUAGCGGUGAAAUGCUUAGAUAUGACAUAGAACACCAAUUGCGAAGGCAGCUCGCUACACGAAUAUUGACUCUGAGGCACGAAAGCGUGGGGAUCAAACAGG
rnacentral:rRNA from 1 species